rnacentral:rRNA from 1 species
GAGCUUUUCUCCGCCGAAGAGCAGUGAUCCGAAGCAGUUCCGGUACUGUGGAUGUACCGGUAACUAGAGGCUGCACGCAGGGAUCAAUCAGUGGCCCAUUUAUCUGGGACAUACUGAUGGAUGUACUGCUUCAGCGUCUCCAGCCGUAUUGCCAGCUGAGUGCAUACGCGGAUGACUUGCUGCUUCUCGUCGAGAGAAAUUCCCGAGCUGAGCUAGAGGAAAAAGGUGCAGAGCUGAUGUCCAUCGUAGAAGCGUGGGGAGCGGAAGUUGGCGUUACCGUCUCGACCAGCAAGACGGUAAUAAUGCUGCUGAAAGGUGCCUUGAGACGUGCGCCUACGGUGAGGUUUGCUGGAGCGAACCUUCCGUAUGUGCGUAGCUGUCGGUACCUUGGCAUCACGGUCAGUGAAGGAAUGAAAUUCCUCACGCACAUAGCUUCGCUUCGCCAGCGGAUGACCGGAGUCGUUGGAGCAUUGGCGCGUGUGCUUCGAGCCGACUGGGGCUUCAGUCCUCGAGCCAGGCGGACCAUAUAUGACGGACUCAUGGCACCUUGUGUGCUGUUUGGUGCCCCGGUAUGGUAUGACACCGCCGAACAGGUAGCCGCCCGGAGACGACUAGCCUCCUGCCAGAGGCUAAUCCUGCUUGGAUGCCUUUCGGUAUGCCGAACAGUGUCCACAGUGGCACUGCAGGUACUUGGCGGAGCUCCCCCGCUUGACUUGGCUGCUAAGUUUUUAGCGGUCAAGUACAAGCUGAAGCGUGGAUACCCGCUGGAGGAGAACGACUGGCUAUACGGCGAGGACACUACGUGUCUAAGCUGGAAGCAGAGGAAGACUCGCCUAGAGGAGUGCUUGCUGCAGAAUUGGCAAAACAGAUGGGAUGACGACAGCGAACCAGGACGGGUGACGCACAAGUUCAUCCCAUACGUCACUCUCGCCUAUCGAGAUCCAAGCUUUGGAUUCUCGAUGAGGACGUCUUUCCUGCUGACAGGUCACGGGUCGUUUAACGCAUUUUUGCAAGGGAGAGCCCUCAGCGAUACCACUGCUUGCGCUUGUGGUGAUCCAUAUGAGGACUGGAUGCACAUAUUGUGCGCUUGUCCUCUAUAUGCAGAUUUGCGAAACCUCGAUGGACUUGGAGUGCAGCGCCUUGGCGAAAACUGGACCUUCAAUAGAAUCCUGGAAGAUCAGCAGAGGAUUCAACGGCUGGCAGCGUUUGCGGACGAGGUGUUCCGUAGGAGGAGGGGUAUUUAGCCCAAAACUUCGCCGUGUGGUUAGCGGGCGAGAAUACUUCCACAGCCCGCUAUUGCUUGUCGUAAGAGGCGACUAAUAUAGCGACUGGUUCCUCUAACCAUGCUUGUCGGAGCAAAAGGAGGAGGCCCACCGAGCCUCUCUUUCGGUACCACGGGUUGUGCUGCUCCAAGACAGCACAUUGAGGUAGGCCCCCUGGUGGGAGUAUCGUGGUGGCUGUGGUUGAUACCCAUAUCGCGGGUAGAGCCUUCGUGUUCGACGUUUGAGUUACGGUGCUAGUUGCGCAAAACUCGGGUGCUGUGACCCAGAGAUCAGUAGAGAUUUUAGGUAGAUCUCGCUCCUCAGCAAGGGGGAGUGCUUGCCCGGCAAGCAAGUACUCGAAUUGCUACCGGGGUGGUCGCUAUGUACAUAGCUAUAGCUUCCAGUCCGGGACGUUUGUCUGGCGUAUCCAGACUCAUGCACCAUGUUGAUACAUGCACCACUUGUGGGUGUUCAGGGUGUCGUGGUUGUAAUCCCUUCAGUGUGGAACACGCCACGUAAAACAAGUUCGGAGAGGUCCGAAAGUCACUGUCCCUAUCUACUAUCUAGCGAAACCACAGCCAAGGGAACGGGCUUGGAAUAAUUAGCGGGGAAAGAAGACCCUUUUGAGCUUGACUCUAAUCUGGCAGUGUAAGGAGACAUAAGAGGUGUAGAAUAAGUGGGAGAUAUUAGACCUCGGUUUGGUAUCGUCAAUGAAAUACCACUACUCUUAUUGUUUCCUUACUUACUUGAUUAAAUGGAACGUGUAUCAUUUCCUAGCCAUUAUACGGAUAUAUUUAUUAUAUCUUAUGGUAUUGGGUUUUGAUGCAAGCUUCUUGAUCAAAGUAUCACGAGUUUGUUAUAUAAUCGCAAACAAAUUCUUUAAUAAAACGAUGCAUUUAUGUAUUUUUGAUUUGAAAAUUUGGUAUAACUCCAAUUACUCAGGUAUGAUCCAAUUCAAGGACAUUGCCAGGUAGGGAGUUUGACUGGGGCGGUACAUCUCUCAAAUAAUAACGGAGGUGUCCCAAGGCCAGCUCAGUGCGGACAGAAACCACACAUAGAGCAAAAGGGCAAAUGCUGACUUGAUCUCGGUGUUCAGUACACACAGGGACAGCAAAAGCUCGGCCUAUCGAUCCUUUUGGUUUAAAGAGUUUUUAACAAGAGGUGUCAGAAAAGUUACCAUAGGGAUAACUGGCUUGUGGCGGCCAAGCGUUCAUAGCGACGUCGCUUUUUGAUCCUUCGAUGUCGGCUCUUCCUAUCAUUGUGAAGCAAAAUUCACCAAGCGUUGGAUUGUUCACCCAUGCAAGGGAACGUGAGCUGGGUUUAGACCGUCGUGAGACAGGUUAGUUUUACCCUACUAAUGACAAAACGUUGUUGCGACAGCAUUCCUGCGUAGUACGAGAGGAACCGCAGGUACGGACCAAUGGCACAAUACUUGUUCGAGCGAACAGUGGUAUGACGCUACGUCCGUUGGAUUAUGCCUGAACGCCUCUAAGGUCGUAUCCGUGCUGGACUGCAAUGAUAAAUAAGGGGCAAUUUGCAUUGUAUGGCUUCUAAACCAUUUAAAGUUUAUAAUUUAUUUUAUAAACGACAAUGGAUGUGAUGCCAAUGUAAUUUGUAACAUAGUAAAUUAGGAGGAUCUUCGAUCACCUGAUGCCGCGCUAGUUACAUAUAAAAGCAUUAUUU